CGCGGGGUAGAGCAGUUUGGUAGCUCGCAAGGCUCAUAACCUUGAGGUCACGGGUUCAAAUCCUGUCUCCGCAAA
rnacentral:tRNA from 3 species